GAUGAACGCUAGCGGCAGGCCUAAUACAUGCAAGUCGAACGGUGUCUUCGGACAUAGUGGCGUACGGGUGCGUAACACGUAUGCAACCUACCUUACAUUGGGGGAUAGCCUUUCGAAAGGGAGAUUAAUACCGCAUAAGACAGUAACUAGGCAUCUAGUAGCUGUUAAAGAUUUAUCGAUGUAAGCUGGGCAUGCGUCCAAUUAGCUAGUUGGUGAGGUAACGGCUCACCAAGGCAAUGAUUGGUGGGGGAACUGAGAGGUCAAUCCCCCACACUGGCACUGAGAUACGGGCCAGACUCCUACGGGAGGCAGCAGUAGGGAAUAUUGGGCAAUGGACGCAAGUCUGACCCAGCCAUGCCGCGUGCAGGAUGAAGGCGUUAUGCGUUGUAAACUGCUUUUAUACAGGAAGAAACGACUCUUGCGAGAGGCAUUGACGGUACUGUAUGAAUAAGCACCGGCUAACUCCGUG
rnacentral:rRNA from 1 species